rnacentral:lncRNA from 1 species
GCGGCCGGUCGGAAGAACCUCGGGUGCUGGCGCGCCUGAAGUUGCAGACCAGACUGAAAUGUGCGAGACAUGUGCCUUUUUCUUAGGAAAGGCCCCAGGUACCAGAAAGGUUUUCAGCGCGCCGACCUACGGGGCUAAGAGGGCUGAAAUAAGAACCAGUGACUGAGCGCCGGGAGGUUUAAGGUUUAUGGAAGAUGUUCAUCGCGCCGUACCCUACUAGAGGUUUGGGGACGUGGGACACAGCCCCUGCGUUCCCGCCGCGGACCCCGUGAUAAAUACACAGACACACAAAAUCACUACCGCCUUGAAUCUGGACAGCUACCUCAGGUGGUUAAUAUCUAACAGGAGCAGAGUGGAGCUCAGAAAGACUCAGCGUGGGUGCUGGGUUCCGGCGCGACCAGCCUGAUACCUAGGUCAGCAUCUCAGCCACACAAGCAGGCGGCAGUUCUGUCAGGAAUUACUACAUCUGGUGAUUCCACUUCUCAUAGCUCACCGCUGGGAGAAUAAUUCCUCAGGAUUAACAAGAUCUAUUCCAGAGGAUCCUCACUGCUGAAGCGAUUUUAGAAGACAGUGUGGUCUGUUGACAAUUACAGAGUAAGCCGCCAGCAGAAGCAAUAAAGACAUUACUGGGCCUUUGCACUGCAACAUCAUGCCUCUGAAGAAAAAAAAAGUGCAAACAUUACAAUAGAUUCAGCUCCUUUAGUUCUCACUUCUGUCUCCACGUCAAGAUAAAAUACUGACAUUGAAAUAGAAUGGAUGACAUGCUUGAAAUGAGUCAUGUGCCUGAAAAGUCAUUAACAAACAACAGUUCCAGAGAAAAGCCAGGAAAAACUCCCCAUGGAUUUAGAGACAGAGCUCUCACCUUCAACAGGUUACUUUUUCCUUGUCUCAGGCUUCCUUGGAAAACAACCUAUAACUAACUUUCUGGGAGUAAAGCUUCAGGUGGAAGAACAAUUGGAUCAAACUUGGAAAACAUGCCCCCAGUUUGUCUACUCCAUUGAACUUUGCAUGCUUGGAGCCCCUGGCCUCAGCACACUCAAUCGCACAAGCCAGCCUGCAGCACCUGUACAGCACCAUGGGAGUCCCCUGCAGAGCUGCAACUUUGAGAGUGGGUAUAGUGACGUAACUCAGGUUCUUCAAGGGAUGAACACUCCAACUUUGAAACCACUAGCCUGUAGGUGUGGACGAAAAGGCAGCUGCAUGUUAUAAAACAAUAUUACUCAUACUUUUGGAUCAAGCUUCUUUCAGUCCCAUGGGUAGGGAGGAGGGGCAAUUUGCUGAAGCCCACUGCCCUUCCAGUACUCACAAGCCAAGGGCCCUAUGGGAUCUGUUUCACAGGACUCAUGCUUAUGGCAGCUGAGCACAUCUGUCCUGUAUGUCUGCCAGCAGCCACGUCCCUCUCACUCCUGUGACGACAGCCUUGACUAUAUUUAGAAAUUCCAUUUCUGAUUGCAUUUCACUGCUGAAUGGUCCUAGAAUCCUUUAUUGCCCUUGUCCCAUCACAAGAGACAGCCAGCCACAGCCACUUUUAUCUCAACAACAUACUGAAUACUGACAGAACAAACAGGCAAG